AAGGGAUGUGGGACGCUUUCUCUUCUUCUCUACUUGAAUUUCACUCCUUUUCUCCCCUUUCGGCUCCCUUUUUGAUUUUAUUGCUUAACCAUCUUUCCGGGACUUUCCGGGUGGCUACUGGCAAAUCAGAACUGAUUUGUUUUUUUCUCCAGUUAGCCAUGCAAAGCAGCACCUCCAGGCGGAGAAAGCAGAUCUUGACCUCAUCCGCUUGCUUACGGCGCCUUUGUCGCACAGAACUACUGGACAGCAGCAUCACGUUUUCUGCGUCCUUUCAGCCGCCCAGAGCGGCUCAACUUGACUUCACCUCCACGGUACACCAGCGGCGUAGAGGAAGCCCUUUGGGAGCCCUUAUUUCCUUCAAAGCCCAGCCUGGACUGAAGAUCCCUUGGUUUCGAGGCCAGCAGGCACAUUGGUGCUGGCCAGUAUCCUGACCAGUAGGUGACGAUGGUAUCUGUGGUUCCCAGCUGGCAUCUCUGUGUGUCUGUGUGAAUUAACGCGCCACCGUUGAGCCUGUCGGACGUUGCCCAGGGAGUGCCCAGUGACCCGCCUCGCCUGCCCAGUGUUCAGACUACCUGUUCAGGAAGUUGUGGUUGUACAGUAGUCUGCACAUUGGUUAGGCUGUGUGGGGGAGCUCGAGACAUCAAGACCCGCAGCCUCAUCGAGCACAGACGCCGAGAACCCCGUGAUGUGCUCCGCGCCAGGCCUUGUUCAGCCGAGCACGAGGCGUUUUCUAGCUGAACAGGGGUGGUACAGUCGUUUACUCUACCAGUCACUCAAAGACAGCACACUCUGGGCCACCCCCCCUCAAGGUUACACCUUGGUCCUGCCAUUGAAGGGUACCGCUAGUGUCACAGGGCGUCACAGUCAUCAUUGCAAUCGCUAAUCUAGCUCCUGCGGGACUUUGUUUGAUGUUGUAUUUGUGAGACGGUGUUUUUCCUAUUCGAGAACAUGCUGUAAAACAGAAAAUCCUCUUCUCUCUAUUUAAAUACUAACUUAUAAAAAUCUUUCCAGCUACAGUUUUUGCUCAAUGUGGUGUUGGUGGUGGGUGUAUUAAAAUGCUUUGCAAAUGCAACUGACUUAACUGCGGUUGCUUCAUGA